CCCCUAGAUGUUCUGGGCCGCACGCGCGCUACACUGAACAGUUCAACAAGUCUUAACCUUGGCCGAUAGGUCUGGGUAAUCUUUGAACGCUGUUCGUGAUUGGGAUAGACCUUUGCAAUUAUGGGUCUUCAACGAGGAAUUCCUAGUAAACGCGAGUCAUCAGCUCGUGCUGAUUACGUCCCUGCCCUUUGUACACACCGCCCGUCGCUCCUACCGAUUGAGUGCUCAGGUGAAUAAUUCGGACUGCAGCAGUGUUUGGAUCCCGAACGCUGCAGCGGAAAGUUUAGUGAACCUUAUCACUUAGAGGAAGGAGAAGUCGUAACA
rnacentral:rRNA from 1 species